CUUGCCCUUCUUCUCACGCUGCUGGAACUUGCGCAGCCGCCGCGCCCACGUGUCCCGCCACUGGAUCACCAGACUGCUCUUGUCCGCCACGAUGCCGCUCUGGUCGGGCGAGUCCUCCGCGUUGCCCAGCAGCAGCUGUUCCUGGGCAUCCUGAACUUUGCACUCCAAUCUGAGGGCUCCAAAGAACGGCUGCCAUGGCAACCGUUUCCAUGUUUUUGUCACCAAGGGACUCAACAGUCUGAACUCUGAGGUGGGGGCGGUGGGGAGCCCUCCAGCCCCGAGCAGUAGCUAAGCUGUGUGUUUGACAGUGCAGACGGAGGUCACCGUGGCAACUGAAUGCCCCUCAGCGAAGCAAAGGGGGAGCCACCUCCAGCAUCCCUGAGGGCCCCGGUUUCCUCUCCUCAGGACUGAGCUGAAUACAGAAUGAGCCUCCCCUAGGAUGCAGCUGUUUCCCUGCGUGGGACCUCAGACCUCUGGCCCAGCUGCAGAGCCCCCCAGCCAGAGUGGCCAGGGGUGGCCCCAGAAGGCUGCUGUAGGAGGCCUCUCCGCCUAGGGCCCCUGAAGAAUGUGGCUUUGAUCAGCGGUGGUAGCUGAACUGUGUAUCCCUACCCCGACCCCUGCACAUUCAUAUGUGAAGUCCUGAUCCCCAGAAGAGCGUCUUUAAGGGAUAGUUACAAUGAAGUUAUUGGGGUGGGCCCUAAUCCGAUAGGGCUGAUGUCCUCAUGAUAAGAGACUAUAACACAGACAUGUGGAGGGAAGACCGUGUGAAGACACAGCAAGAAGACAGCCAUCUCCAUGCCAAGGAGAGAGGCCAGAGAGGCCACAAGCCUGAGGGCACCCUGACCUAGGACUGCCAACCCCCAAGACCGGGAAGAAAGAAACUCCCGUUGUCUGGGCCCCUCAGACUGUGUACUUGGUUCUGGCAGCGUAAACAAACUCAUGCAACUGGACUCGCAGACUCCAGACCUUGGGCCUCAGCUCAGGGCUAGCUGGGAAGAGCUGGGAAGACAGACCUGGGCGGGGGUCUUCCCAGCUGUGCUGACAAGAGGGCAGAAAGAGCGGGCUGGAGCAGGUCUGGCUCUCCAGGCCCCCAAGGGGAACUUCUUACUCCCUGGACCUGCAGGAAUGUGGCCCUUCACAGUAGGAGGACUGGAGACCUCUGUCCCCCCUUUCCUGGAGCUCCCCCACCACCCAUAAUGCCCUGGAACACCAGGCAGGGCAUCCAUGGCUGCCCCCACCUCCCCUUCCCUGGCCAGCACCAGCCUGAAGGGGGCCCACUUCACACCAAGGAUGCAACCCGAAGGGGUACCGGCUCUGGGAUACCUUGCCAUCCUCAAGGAUCCAGGGGCAGAGCACAGGACACAGGUCCAUCAGGACAAAGCACUGGUCCUUGUCCUCCUUCCAGCCCAGCAGCCCCCUGGCCACCAGGUGGGAUGGGACAGGACUGGGGGCAGUGGUGGGUGGUGGUAGUUCAUGUGAUCAUGCUGGAAAAAAUCCACGUUUCCGCUGCCCUUGGCAACGCCUCUGCAUAUUACACAGCCCACCAAGUAUGAGCUGCACACGCGGUGCACACACAGCUGAAAACAGUCAAAAUACACAUUGAAAGAGUGA